rnacentral:rRNA from 1 species
CCUACGGGUGGCAGCAGUGGGGAAUAUUGGACAAUGGGCGCAAGCCUGAUCCAGCCAUGCCGCGUGUGUGAAGAAGGCCUUCGGGUUGUAAAGCACUUUCAGUGGGGAAGAAAGCCUUGGGGCUAAUACCCUCGAGGAAGGACAUCACCCACAGAAGAAGCACCGGCUAACUCCGUGCCAGCAGCCGCGGUAAUACGGAGGGUGCGAGCGUUAAUCGGAAUUACUGGGCGUAAAGCGCGCGUAGGCGGUCUGUAAGCCGGUUGUGAAAGCCCCGGGCUCAACCUGGGAACGGCAUCCGGACUGCCAGGCUAGAGUGCAGGAGAGGAAGGUAGAAUUCCCGGUGUAGCGGUGAAAUGCGUAGAGAUCGGGAGGAAUACCGGUGGCGAAGGCGGCCCUCUGGACUGACACUGACGCUGAGGUGCGAAAGCGUGGGUAGCAAACAGGAUUAGAUACCCGAGUAGUC